rnacentral:rRNA from 1 species
UGCGUAGGCGGCGUAUCAAGUUGGUAGCGUAAUUCCGUGGCUCAACCGCGGCGCUACUACCAAAACUGGUAUGCUUGAGUGUGGCAGGGGUAUGUGGAAUUCCUAGUGUAGCGGUGGAAUGCGUAGAUAUUAGGAGGAACACCAGAGGCGAAGGCGAGUUACUGGACUGUAACUGACACUGAGGCACGAAAGCGUGGGGAGCAAACA